rnacentral:rRNA from 1 species
GAGUUUGAUCCUGGCUCAGGAUGAACGCUGGCGGCGUGCCUAAUACAUGCAAGUCGAGCGAACAGACGAGAGUGCUUGCACUCUCUGACGUUAGCGGCGGACGGGUGAGUAACACGUGGGUAACCUACCUAUAAGACUGGGAUAACUUCGGGAAACCGGAGCUAAUACCGGAUAAUAUUUAGCUUCGCAUGAAGCAAUAGUGAAAGACGGUUCUGCUGUCACUUAUAGAUGGACCCGCGGUGUAUUAGCUAGUUGGUGAGGUAACGGCUCACCAAGGCAACGAUACAUAGCCGACCUGAGAGGGUGAUCGGCCACACUGGGACUGAGACACGGCCCAGACUCCUACGGGAGGCAGCAGUAGGGAAUCUUCCGCAAUGGACGAAAGUCUGACGGAGCAACGCCGCGUGAGUGAAGAAGGUUUUCGGAUCGUAAAACUCUGUUGUAAGGGAAGAACAAGUACGUUAGUAACUGAACGUACCUUGACGGUACCUUACCAGAAAGCCACGGCUAACUACGUGCCAGCCGCCGC